GCAAAAUCCCGUAGCUCCUCAUCGCAAAACCUUCUAAACUUCAAUUCACCAUAUCUUUUUCGUUUCUUAACGAAAUUGAGUGAUUCUUGCGGCCACGGAACGAGGAAAGGAUCCUCUACUGGAUUAUUGCUUCAAUUUGAGGUGUUUGUGAGCUUGAAUCAUGGAUUUUGAUGGUGAAUUGGAGCAUGAGAUCAUUCGGUUUUGAGGAAUCAUCAAGGUCCGAUAAGGCAACCUAAUAGCGGAUAAGGAACUCAGGGAGCUUACGCUAUAAUAAGCAAAGAUUUUGGAUAAGCAAGUUUGUAUGUUGCAGGUGUAUGGUUUAUGACACGACGGACUUCUACCUUAGUUCCAGAAGUCCUUAUGUACAGUAAGAAGGAGUCAACCAGUAGUGCUGCAGUAGGGUCGAGUCCUAGCAUAUUUAUAUUUGUUUGUCAAAUGAUUUUCGUAUACGAUAUAACUCUGAUUUGUAAAAGCAUUUUGAGACUUCCGCUAUAAAACCGUUUGUUUUAUUUUGGAAUGGGCUGUGCUAGGAUGUGGGGCAUCGCAUGUUAAGACCCAAGUUCCUAUGGAACGUUUUCUAUUUUGAAAAAGAUGUUUGUAUACGUCAAAG